AACUCAACUAACGCUCGUGACUCAUUCAUCAAAACCUAAUUAUUAAUUCAUUUCUUGUUGCUUUUGCUUCAAGUUGUUUCUAUUGUAAUUAUUUUCUUUUCUUUUCAUCUUUUGUAAGAAAAAUGAGAAAAAAAGUUGUGAUUGUGGCUCUAGUAGGAUUGUUUAACGGCUUGUUGAAUAUUCGAUAGUUUUCCAGCUAAUAGAAUUAGAGAGUUUCUUUCUGAUCUGUUUUUUCAUUUUGAUUUUGCUUUUAUUGAAUACAGAAACCUCUGUUUUGUUUUGAAAUUUGAAGCUGAACUUGAAUGAUAUGUAAUUUUGUGAUUGGAGGACAAAGUUGUUUUAUUUGAUUGAAUUUUGGAGAAUUUGGGGGUUUGGAUUAGGGAUUUUUUUUUUAAAAUUUUUAGCCGAUUACAUUGAAACAGCUUAGAUAUUUGACUGGGUUUUGUACAGGAUUAAAGGGUUUUCUUUUAUUGAUCUGGGUUUGUGAUUUUGGGGUUUUAAGUGGUGAACAAAGCUGUUGUUUAUUUUAUACAUUCAGUGUUUGAUGCUACUGCUAUUAAGGGUUUGAUCUUUGAUUCAAAUCAUGAAUUAGAGCCUUUUGACUAAUUAUGGAUCCUGAUUAAUAAGGGAAGACAAUCUCCGGUCGGGCGCAUACGGUAUAAGGGCAAGAUUGAUGGUUGGAGUGAGGAUGUUAGUUUCUAAGUUCUGAGAUUUAUGAGGAAAUUGUUGAAGUUGGUUGACAUUUGACUGUUGGAGAACCAAACAUUACGGUGUUUGAGAUUAGAUAUAGUGGAAUUUGGGUAUGGAUGAUGCUCAGGGCAGCUCAAGUUCGCUCCCUCCUUUCCUCGCGAAGACGUAUGAGAUGGUGGAUGAUCCUUCCACAGAUUCUAUCGUGUCCUGGAGUGCAAGUGAUAAGAGUUUCGUUGUAUGGAAUCCGCCCGAGUUUGCAAGAGAUUUACUUCCCAGAUUCUUCAAGCACAAUAACUUUUCUAGCUUUAUCAGACAGCUUAAUACAUAUGGUUUCAGGAAAAUUGAUCCAGAGCAGUGGGAAUUUGCGAAUGAUGAUUUUGUAAGAGGUCAGCCUCAUCUUCUGAAAAACAUACAUAGACGCAAACCGGUUCAUAGUCAUUCCAUGCAGAGUCACUUAGGUCAAGGAGCAUCUUCAUUAACGGAAUCGGAGAGACAGAAUUUAAGAGAUGAGAUCGAGAGACUUAAGAAUGAAAAAGAGUUGCUUGCUUUAGAGUUAAAGAGGCAUGAACAGGAGCGUCAAGGAUUUCAGCUGCAAAUGCGGCUUUUGAGGGAGCGUUUACAAAAUAUGGAACGGCGGCAACAAAUUAUGAUGUCUUCCGUGGCUCGUGUCUUGCAGAAACCAGGAGUUGCCAUAAAUCUGACACCACAAUUGGAGACUAAUGACAGAAAGAGAAGGUUGACUAGAAUUGCUUACUUAUAUGAUGAAGCCGGGAUCGAAGAUAGUCAGACAGGCAAUUCCCUAAUUUCUAGAGAAAAUGUAGAUAGUACAUCAUUGUCUAAUAUGGAGCCAUUUGAACAAUUAGAGUCAUCCAUGGUGUUUUGGGAGAAUGCGGUACAUGAUUUUGGUCAAACCAACAUUCAACAUGAGUCAAACCUUGAAUUGGAUGAAUCAACAAGCUGUGCAGAAACCCCAGCAACAUCUUGCAUACAGCUUAAUAUCGAUGCUCGACUUAAAUCCCCUGGGAUUGACAUGAACUCUGAGCCUGCUCUCGUUGUUGUUUCUGAGCCUAUUACAGCAAAGGAACAAGCUGCAGGAACUACUGCACCUGCAACAACUGGGGUUAAUGAUAUAUUUUGGGAACAAUUUUUGACUGAAAAUCCCGGUUCAACUGAUACACAGGAAGUUCAGUCAGAAAGAAAAGAUUCCGAUGCUAGUAAGAACGAAAGCAAACCCGGUGAUCAUGGCAAAUUUUGGUGGAAUACUAAGAAUGUAAAUAACCUUGCAGAACAGAUGGGGCAUCUUACUCCUGCGGAGAGAACGUGAUAUCGGUUGACUAUUCUUUUUACACCUUUUGGUGCCUCAGUAUUUCAGAUGUAUUAAGUUUAGGUGAUUAACAACAUGCUGUGUUUAUGUCGAGUUGGGAAAUGCAGAUGUACCUGAUUGAAGUAGACGGUGUUGUUACGUAGUUGUCAAAUUACUGAAAAAAUCAAUCCAUUUUGCUGGAAAAGUAGAAUUAAGUGCUGUGUUGCAGUAGAAGGGUGUAUGGCUGAGGGUUUAGGAAAAAAUGUCUUGAAGGAUAUAGCUUAUGAUGGUAUGGACUUAAGUGUCUUAAGUAAAAAGUUCGAUUUUCUUGUAUUUUUAUGCUUGCAACUCAAGUAACUUCUAGGUGAUGAUUAAAUAUAUGAAAAGCAACUAAAAAGAAACUCUCUGAAAGUA